GUAAAGGUUUCGACGGGGGAACUGAAGCUGGAGAAGCGAGUCGCAUGCAAUGCGUGAAAUGGCAAAACUAAAAUUAAACGCUGAAGAUAAUUUAGCAUACGCUGCCUAAUGGCAGCAGUCCGCUCUAGAGCACUCACACUUUAGAAUCCGGGCUUCGACCAUGUGAGAAACGACAUGAGCAAAGCUUUGAACUCAUGGGCGUAUCAUGAAGCUACUGAAACUGCAAGGAUGUUUGUUUUCGUGCAGCGGAGGGAAUGUGAAAUAACAAACUACGCUCGUAGAAGGACAGGGGAUUUUCUUUCGGACACGGGUUCGACUCCCGUCUAGUCCACU
rnacentral:tmRNA from 1 species